CUUUGGCACAAGGGUCAUUGUGAGCUAAUUAUUAGACACAGAAGCGGCUCAGAAAACAGAGUACGGAAAUGUACUCGCACAAAGGAAGUCUCCUGCACGAGGGUGCUCCUCCGUGUGUCCCAGGAAGAGAAGGAAGAACAGGGGACUCACAAAAGGACCCACGGAGAAGCAACCUUCCCUGUGUGCCGUACUCUCCUGACCACCUCGCCGCCACCUGCUCUCCACACCUGGCUUUCUCUUCUUAGCCGAAGAGGGAGCCGCAGCUGAGAACCUAGAAUGGGAACCUAGAAUGGACAAGGAAAGCACUUUUGGCUCCCCUGACUGGUCACCCACAGCUUGAGUGAGACUUCUGGGGGUGUCCCCGCGUAACAAUCCCACCAUCUCCACCGAGCGAGCGCUUGGGAUGCGCCCGCCCUCAGCCUCGUCCGAGCAACGGCGAGAGAAGGCAGGCACCGCUCCCCCUCUUACAGACUUUCUAUACUAGUGCUUCCUUCCUUUGCUGUGGUUUCCAGUGUAAUUCGUGAAUACCAGCAAGUGUAGACGGCACGAGGCCCUUGGCUCCUAAAUCCAUCGGCUUUAACUUUUGAAUGAAAAAUGAGUGACGGGAAGAUUCACUGUCAGCUCAUCUGAAUCAUCAUUUGUCAACAGACAGUAUUUACCUCCUCAGAACCUUUGAAAAGUUCAUUAUUUAUAAAUGUGUUUACCCACAUACAGAAGCACAUUCACGCAAUUUCUGACUUAUUUUCAUUGUACAGAAUAAUAAAUAGUGGUUCGUUA